CGAUCCCCAACUCCACCCAGCGAACAGCCUGAAAAGGAAACGCACACCAAACACAGAGCACCCAAACCUCCUCUACGGCCCGUAAGGACGUAACAGUUAUGAAGACAGCCACAAUAAUAACUGAUUAGAAGCUACAUGUUACGGCAGGACACCGGUCACAUGACUGAAUAUUUAAAAAGCUGAAGUGAAAGUGCUCAGACCAAACUAGAACGGGGGAGUGAAUCUUUUCUUCAUUACGAAGAGGUCGACCAUGGAGCCCGAUGUGCUCUUCACCGAUAAAGAUGUGAAUGAAACAGAGAAAAAGGAAAUCAAGAAUUCUGGAGGUGGAGGCUGUUCGGAUGGAGAAAAAGUAGCUCAACAGGUUAACGUUAAACAGCAUGACAGUAAUUUCUGUACAAUGAGGGAACCUGUGGAACGUGAGAGCAUCAAUGCUGAAGAAGAGGAGCGCGCAAAAGGAGUUAAAAAAACUUGUGAAUUCAAAAAUGAUUCAGGAACAGGUGCCUCACUAGCAGAAGAAGGGACCAAUGAGGCUUUAACAUGGUCAGAUCUGCGUCCUGCUGGUCCAGUCCGUUUCAGCAGCGUGAGGUCCGAUUCUGUCGUUCUGAACUGGGAAGCUCCUGCAGGACUGACUGGAAACCAGAAGUUUAUGGUGAAGUGGGAGCAGAAACAGAAACUGGUUUCAGGUUCAAGUGCUGAGAUCCAGGAACUCACACCAGGAGAAGAAUAUGAAUUUACAGUAGAACCUGAAUAUGGGAACCAGAGUCCAUAUCACACCACAUCCGCAAUAAGAGGAAAAAUCCGUCUUCCUCUUGUGAUCAAUUUCAAAUUGGAGAACACCUCCAUGUGUGUGCAGUGUGAAGAUUCUGAACAUCUAAGCAGGCAUCAAAAAUUCAAACUCAGUUGGGGAAAGAAGGGGGAACUGAAGUGUGUGGACAUUCCAGGCUUAAAUACUGAGUUUCAGAAUGUUGAACCAGGAGAGGAACAUGAAUUUACUGUCUACAUGCUCAGUGAUGACGACAAACCAAUUAUGUCUGCAUCUAAAAAUGUAUUGACAGAAAUCGCCCCUCCUGUAGAUGUGAAGUUGUGCUCUGAUGAUGGAACUGUCUCAGUGUCAUGGAAGAAACCUGCAGGACUGAACGCUGCAUCGUACCUCGUCUCCUUGUACAGUAAUAAGAUGCUGAUGAAGAGUUUAUACACCCAGUCUCUGAACUGUUCUUUCCAAGUUCACCCUGACAAGAAGCACAUGAUCAGCAUCGAGACUGUACUGAAAAAUGGCAAAAAGAGCAAACCUGUCGAAAUUACCCCCUAUAAAGGUGCCUCACCAGCAGAAGAAGGGACCAAUGAGGCUUUAACAUGGUCAGAUCUGCGUCCUGCUGGUCCAGUCCGUUUCAGCAGCGUGAGGUCCGAUUCUGUUGUUCUGAACUGGGAAGCUCCUGCAGGACUGACUGGAAACCAGAAGUUUAUGGUGAAGUGGGAGCAGAAACAGAAACUGGUUUCAGGUUCAAGUGCUGAGAUCCAGGAACUCACACCAGGAGAAGAAUAUGAAUUUACAGUAGAACCUGAAUAUGGGAACCAGAGUCCAUAUCACACCACAUCCGCAAUAAGAGGAAAAAUCCGUCUUCCUCUUGUGAUCAAUUUCAAAUUGGAGAACACCUCCAUGUGUGUGCAGUGUGAAGAUUCUGAACAUCUAAGCAGGCAUCAAAAAUUCAAACUCAGUUGGGGAAAGAUGGGGAAACUGAAGUGUGUGGACAUUCCAGGCUUAAAUACUGAGUUUCAGAACGUUGAACCAGGAGAGGAACAUGAAUUUACUGUCUACAUGCUCAGUGAUGACGACAAACCAAUUAUGUCUGCAUCUAAAAAUGUAUUGACAGAAAUCCCCCCUCCUGUAGAUGUGAAGUUGUGCUCUGAUGAUGGAACUGUCUCAGUGUCAUGGAAGAAACCUGCAGGACUGAACGCUGCAUCGUACCUCGUCUCCUUGUACAGUAAUAAGAUGCCGAUGAAGAGUUUAUACACCCAGUCUCAGAACUGUUCUUUCCAACUUCAACCUGACAAGAAGCACAUGAUCAGCAUCGAGACUGUACUGAAAAAUGGCAAAAAGAGCAAACCUGUCGAAAUUACCCCCUAUAAAGGUCAGGUUCCUGCACCAGAGAAUCUUUCUGUGGAGGUGAACUCACCAUCAGUAUCAGUAACAUGGAGAAAACCACCAGGAGUAGAUCAGGUCUCAUACCUGCUGUCCUACGGAAGUAAAGGAGAAGAAGAACAGACCAUUUCUACAGAGUCUCUCCAAUAUUCUCUAGAUGAUCUACGGUUUUGUUCAGAGUACAAGAUCAGGGUCUGUACUGUACUGAACAACCUUCACCACAGUAAACCUGUCUACAAGAACAUCAGGACAGGUAAGAAAAUUAAUUUGUGCAAAUGCAACAAAAUGAAGCCUUCUACACUUAAAGAUUGGUUAUCUGCUCAAAAUGAACAAUGGAGUCAAUUUUGAAAAGU
ensembl:lncRNA